UACGUAGGGUGCGAGCGUUGUCCGGAAUUAUUGGGCGUAAAGGGCUCGUAGGCGGUUUGUCGCGUCGGGGGUGAAAACACACAGCUUAACUGUGUGCUUGCUUCCGAUACGGGCAGACUAGAGGUAUGCAGGGGAGAACGGAACUCCUGGUGUAGCGGUGAAAUGCGCAGAUAUCAGGAGGAACACCGGUGGCGAAGGCGGGUCUCUGGGCAGUAACUGACGCUGAGGAGCGAAAGCGUGGGGAGCGAACAGG
rnacentral:rRNA from 1 species